rnacentral:lncRNA from 1 species
ACAAGAGUGCACACGCUGAAAUGUCUCGCCUUCUAUACUAAUCAUUGAUAUUGUGUUGUUAGUCCUAAAUAUAAAGCUAAGCUUUAUUACAACUGUCACAUAAACUUAACAUUAACCAAGAUAACUAAACAAAGACCAAUGAACCUUGAAAAAGAGGUCCAGGUCAGAUGAACCAUGCCAGGCAGACAGGUACAGCUAACAAUGAUUCUAUAC